AGUAAGUUGGCAGAACAGUGCCACUGACUUAGAAUCAGAAAACGGGUAUACACCCACUUACUAC
rnacentral:tRNA from 1 species